GUUCAGGGCUGCUGGUCGGCUGUGCUCUUCUCAUUCAAGGCGUCAAGCUGUUACUGGAUACUGGCCCGAGUACCACGUGAGGAUAAGGAAGAGGUCAUUCUGUCAUGCCCCGGACUUUCCUCUUCCAAUUAAGAGCGUGACUUCGUGUGAGUUUGGAAACGAUUAAUUGAUAAAGGCCUAUACGUGUAGAUGAAAGCAGAAGGAAGGAGACGAAGAAACAAAGGAGGAGGACUAUGAAGAAAUGAGAAAUAGAGGCGGAAUAGAAGAAGGAGCAAAGGUGUAAUAUUUAGGUGACGACAGGCAGAGUGAGCUAGACGUGGCGGAGGCUAUGGGCGAUGAAUUCACGGCACAGGUUAGUCACACCUUGCAUCACGCUGACUCCCCACAGCUGUCCACUAAGGUCGGGUAGGCCUGUAUCUCCGUGUUCUACCCU